rnacentral:rRNA from 1 species
AAAGUGACAGGUGGUGCAUGGUUGUCGUCAGCUCGUGUCGUGAGAUGUUGGGUUAAGUCCCGCAACGAGCGCAACCCUUAAGCUUAGUUGCCAGCAUUAAGUUGGGCACUCUAAGUUGACUGCCGGUGACAAACCGGAGGAAGGUGGGGAUGACGUCAAAUCAUCAUGCCCCUUAUGAUUUGGGCUACACACGUGCUACAAUGGACGGUACAAAGGGCAGCGAACCCGCGAGGUCAAGCAAAUCCCAUAAAGCCGUUCUCAGUUCGGAUUGUAGUCUGCAACUCGACUACAUGAAGCUGGAAUCGCUAGUAAUCGUAGAUCAGCAUGCUACGGUGAAUACGUUCCCGGGUCUUGUACACACCGCCCGUCACACCACGAGAGUUUGUAACACCCGAAGCCGGUGGAGUAACCUUUUAGGAACUAGCCGUCGAAGGUGGGACAAAUGAUUGGGGUGAAGUCGUAACAAGGUAGCCGUAUCGGAAGGUGCGGCUGGAUCACCUCCUUUCUA